CGAUGAACUCCAGGGAAAAGAAAAAACUCCCGAACCUCCUACGAUAAAUUUCCAAAUCCCAUAACUUCUCCGUUCGAGCUUCAAUCGCCGCACCGUUUGUGGCCACGCGUUCACCGCGUCGAGCUCUACGUUUCUAUCGGAACAAUUUUACUGGAUCCAAUUAGCUUGAGAGAAACGUUCACUCUUGCUUAUGUGAAGCUUGGGUAAGGUUGUGAAUAAAUAAUUGGAGCUUGAAAUUGUGAAUAUUGGAG